GAAGCCUGCACCAGUGUGGGUUUCUCUCCACAGGAAGUAAAGAAACAAUCAUCACAGAACAGCUGUGCUAGGCCAACCACACAGCUAGAAUGGAAGACACCAAAAUCCCACUGCAGACGCUAAGUGGAAGAGUACCUAAAUAGCCUCAGGAAUACUAGCUAGAAUAUCCAGUCCAUUCAAGAAAACUAUUAGUCUGCUGCAUUUUAUUUUAGUCUUCAAAGAGGAAAACUGCACUGAGCCAAAACUGGAAAGAUGGUUUACCUGUAUUCAGACGCUAAAGGAGCCCAUGCUUUUCUUACCUAUAUAUACUUAGGAGAGUCAUUCCUUUGCUUGUUUGCUACAGUUUUUACUUAUUACUACAAGAGAUUGUACUGAGACAGCAUGUUUUAAGCCUCCCAGCGUUUCCAUAGGUAUUACCUCAGAGGAAGACAUAAAGGGAAGAUGACAGACCAUCUGUUGGUCCACGUUUCUUCUAAGCUAGUACUACUCUUAGUGAACAAUGUUUUGUCAAACAGCCAAAACAUGAACAGUGUUUUGCUUUCCAUCACUGCAGCUUUUUUUGCAAGGUACAGGUAUCACAAGAGCAGGCCUAUAUCUUGUCAGCUUUUUGUCUUCCUCUCAAGUGGUGUGAAUUUUCUCACCAGUAGCUGCAGGUGAAGCAGUGUUACCUAUUUCAUCCCGAACAGGUCCAAUUUCCUGAACUGAAAACUGUGGGAAUUUGGGGCAUAAGUGAUGAAAUUCAGAAACUCACUACUCCGUAAUGUUGUAACAUAGAAAUAAUAAAUAUUAUUAUAAA